rnacentral:rRNA from 1 species
UACGUAGGAGGCGAGCGUUGUCCGGAAUACUGGGCGUAAAGCGCGCGUAGGCGGUCCUUCGCGUAGACGGUGAAAGCUCCCGGCUCACCUGGGAGAGUGCCGCCUAAACGGGAGGACUUGGAGGGCGGUAGGGGCUGGCGGAACGCCCGGAGUAGCGGUGAAAUGCGUUGAGAUCGGGCAGAACACCAGUGGCGAAGGCG